AGUGAACGCUGGCGGUAGGCCUAACACAUGCAAGUCGAACGGCAGCACAGUAAGAGCUUGCUCUUACGGGUGGCGAGUGGCUGACGGGUGAGGAAUACAUCGGAAUCUACUUUUUCGUGGGGGAUAACGUAGGGAAACUUACGCUAAUACCGCAUACGACCUACGGGUGAAAGCAGGGGAUCUUCGGACCUUGCGCGAUUGAAUGAGCCGAUGUCGGAUUAGCUAGUUGGCGGGGUAAAGGCCCACCAAGGCGACGAUCCGUAGCUGGUCUGAGAGGAUGAUCAGCCACACUGGAACUGAGACACGGUCCAGACUCCUACGGGAGGCAGCAGUGGGGAAUAUUGGACAAUGGGCGCAAGCCUGAUCCAGCCAUACCGCGUGGGUGAAGAAGGCCUUCGGGUUGUAAAGCCCUUUUGUUGGGAAAGAAAAGCAGCAGGUUAAUACCCCGCUGUUCUGACGGUACCCAAAGAAUAAGCACCGGCUAACUUCGCG
rnacentral:rRNA from 1 species